GAAGCAACGCGAAGAACCUUACCAGGUCUUGACAUCCCGCUGACCGCUAUGGAGACAUAGCUUUCCCUUCGGGGACAGCGGUGACAGGUGGUGCAUGGUUGUCGUCAGCUCGUGUCGUGAGAUGUUGGGUUAAGUCCCGCAACGAGCGCAACCCUUGUUCUUAGUUGCCAUCAUUUAGUUGGGCACUCUAAGGAGACUGCCGGUGACAAACCGGAGGAAGGUGGGGAUGACGUCAAAUCAUCAUGCCCCUUAUGACCUGGGCUACACACGUGCUACAAUGGACGGUACAAACGGUUGCCAACCCGCGAGGGGGAGCUAAUCCGAUAAAACCGUUCUCAGUUCGGAUUGUAGGCUGCAACUCGCCUACAUGAAGCCGGAAUCGCUAGUAAUCGCGGAUCAGCAUGCCGCGGUGAAUACGUUCCCGGGCCUUGUACACACCGCCCGUCACACCACGAGAGUUUGUAACACCCGAAGUCGGUGAGGUAACCUUUUGGAGCCAGCCGCCGAAGGUGGGA
rnacentral:rRNA from 1 species